rnacentral:rRNA from 1 species
CAGCACCUCAAGUGGUCAGGAUGAUUAUUGGGCCUAAAGCAUCCGUAGCCGGCGCUGUAAGUUUUCGGUUAAAUCUGUACGCUCAACGUACAGGCUGCCGGGAAUACUGCAGCGCUAGGGAGUGGGAGAGGUAGACGGUACUCGGUAGGAAGAGGUAAAAUCCUUUGAUCUAUUGAUGACCACCUGUGGCGAAGGCGGUCUACCAGAACACGUCCGACGGUGAGGGAUGAAAGCUGGAGGAGCAAACCGGAUUAGAUACCCGAGUAGUCC